UGGGACAGGCUGGCCCGGGACUGGCCGGCAUUGUGGUCAAACUGCAUUAAGCAGAAGAUCAGGUCCGUCGGCACGAGCUCAAACUCAUAGGGCGGGUUGGUGAUGACAUACCUGGACAGGGAAAGCAGAGAUGUCACCUCCUGAGAGUAACUGAGUAAAGAAUUCAACUCUCUCUGAACCAAAAGCAAUGGCCUGGUUACUCAGGACUUUCAGAGGAUCUGGAAGAUGCACUCCUAGCUGGUCUGAGGCCUUAAACAUUCUUUUUCUUGUUAAAUGGAAACUUCCUCUGUUUAACUCAAUAAAGGAGGCCAGCCAGGAGCCCAGGCAGAGAUGUGGAAUUAGAGCCAGUAAUGGAAGAACCAAACUUCGCUUCUCGUGGUCUACAUGUACCUUUCUAUACAAGGUCAAAGUCACUUUCAAGUAGCCCAACCGCAAGAGGUUUCAUGAAGUGUGAUGCAACUUUCAUUUCAUAAUUUUCGGACAAUCCCAGAUAUACAUCACAAGAUCUUUGUUUACCAUGACAGAGUGUCUCCUUAGACUAUUCUCGCUCUUUACCUUUUAAAAUCUACUUUGGUGAGAGAAUUUGGAAUUUGGAAUUCACCACAUGGAAGAAUCUAAGAAACCUGCCUACUUAUCAGCACUACUUUGUUGUUCUUCACAAUUAGUUGGAGCUUUCUUUGGUCAACAGCAGAUGUGACUAAGAAAAUCACGCUGUUUCACUUAGAGCAGUGGUCACCAAGUGUGGUCCUUAGGCCACACAGGUCAGCAUCACCUAGGAACUAGGAAAUGCAAGUUCUUAAGCAAUCCCACCCAGACCUACUGAAUUGGAAGUGCUGAGGAUGGGGUCCAGCAAUCUGUGGUUGAACAAGCUCUGCAGUCUCCACAAAGAACAAUGUUCUUCCCAACCUGCCAAGACAGCCAAAUAACAAAAGAAAUACCCGUGGAGCCCACCUGAAGUGCACAGAUCUGGGGACAUUGGGAGGAACAGAGGUAGCUUAGUGACUCUACUGUCCCUACCACCCAACCUGCUAUUAGCCCUGCUGGUCCGCUCGUGUUUGAGGUCAUGAGUCAGGUUCAAAUAGCCAUGACUGGCAGAAGAUGUCAAUCACAUUUCAUUUCCAUUUUCACUUUGCUGUUUACAUUCUUUAAAUUAAUGCUUGCCCCAAUGAUUGUGAUAUUUAAAGACCAGCCUAGAAUCUAAUUGUGUAUAUGUGAAACUGUUUUCUAAACCAUAAGAUGUUAUAUAAAUACAAACCACUAUUAUUAUUAACAUUAUUACUAUUGGCUCAUCCGGAAAUACCAUAUCUUCCAUUGAGCCAAUGGUGUCAAGAGCCCCCUAGAAUUCUAAUAUAUAUUCCAGAUGGGUGCACUGAUAAUUUCUUUCAAACUCAGAUAAAGGUAAAAUGCAUGGGUUUUUAGUGCAAGCCAGGUGCCCGACGAAGAAUAUUCUGCCAGAACACUUUAGAAAUACAGUAUGCUUUUAACCUUGGGAGGUAAGGACCAGUGUGGAUUAUGACUUUACACUAAACACAGCAUUUAGUAUAUUUCUUAAGGGCAUAAUCACCUUCUAUAGAUGUUCUUGAACUAUAAAAUCUUUAUCUGUAUGCUAUCAUAAUUUAUCCUCGGACACAUCCUGUGCAAUAUUUUAUAAUGCUAGUGUAUGGUGGGCCUUUCUGGUCAAUGCAUUGGAGAACAAGGUGUGGAGUGCAACAGAAGGGCUGGAAGCGGCUUGGGGAUGCUCUGGCCUCACCCUCUUUUGCGUCAUAGCUGCACUCAUACGCAGACCCUGACCCAGGACCCAGGUCGGCUGACUUCUAAUUCAGAUCAUUUGCUGCCAGAAUUCUGCCUGUGAGUGAGAACAGCAUGAGGAUAUGAGCUUCUUGAGUCAGUCCACCUGCCCAAGUCCCAGCUCUGACCCUCUUUAGAGCUCUGAUCUCAGACCAGUUACUCCAUACCUCAAUGUCCUACGAUCUACUGUGAUCCCUACUGGACCAAGGACACCAAAUUUCGGAGAUGCUUUGGGAUUAUGUGACAUAACCAGGGGGCUGCAGGCUGACAGCCUGAGGACCAACUACUGUCCCCAGUGUGCUGAGCUUGGCACCACCCUGCUGAUACACAGGAUUUCACAUGUGGGACAAUCUUUAAGUCUGAAGAUUGUCCAUACAAAUAUGGAUUUCUAACUUCUAAUUAAAAAUCUUGUAGAGGACUGAGUCUUCAUUCCAAAAGGGUGCCAUUCUCCUGGGGCAGGAGCUUAUCAGCUGCUCAAAUGCCCCACUGCUGCCUACUGUACCCCCAUAUAUAGGGCAGACACCCCAUGUUUGCAUUUCUGGCCCUGGAACCAGUGACACUCAAGUGUACCAUCCCCGAAAUAAAGAUUUUAAGGCAUGGGAUAUCCCUCCACAAAUGCCUACUCACAUUGAGUGGGUAGAGAGGUUAAGAGUUAACCACACAGGUCUUAAAGCCACAUUGUUGGGUCUGAACCUAGGUAUUUGGCAAAUUAUCUAACUUCAGUUUUCUCACCAAUAAAAUGAGAAUUAGAGUACCUAUCUAAUAGGUUGUUGUGAGAAUUGACUGAAAAUGUGAAAAGCACUUAAAAGAAUUCCUGGUGAGCUCUUUCUAAAUGCUACCCAUGAUUAUUGCCUUGGCUUUGAAGAGUCAGAGCAAUGAGAGUUCUCUGCUGCUGGGUCCUUCUCCACACCAGUCUGCCACAUUUGGACAUGGUGUAAUUCACAUGGGUCCAUACUCUCUCUCCUUCCCCAAGCAAUUGAGCCGCUAACCAACACUUAGAAUGGGGUGAGCAUUCCCACCCCCACCUGACCCCUAGCCUUGCAUCUCAUUCAACUGUCACCUUUGUCCCUUGUUUCAUAUGGCCCCAAUGAAGUGCUCAAGUCAAAUAAUUAGGUUUUGCCAAAUGUCAUAAAAACAAGAAAAGCCAGAAAACGUUUAAACGGACCUCAAUUGGAGAAGGCUGGAACCAUUCAGGGCAAGAACAAAUGAAAGACAGAUGGGGACAGAGGAACCCCACUGUUUCCUCUAAAUUACAGGAAAUUCACGCCGUCUGAUUGUGAGGGCCUCUUUUCUUUCCCUUGAAUUUCUGCUGGGAGGUCAUGGGAUUGAUCGGCGUGUGCAGACACAUGGGAGACAGAAGAAGGGGCAGAGGCAUGGCGGGGUAGAGAGGCAGUGACUCCUUCACCAGGCUCUCCCACCAUGUCUUCCUUUCACCUGACUACUUGACCACCCUUGAAGGGACAGCCUAGGCUGCCUCCUCCAGGGGGCCUUCCCAGAUGAUUAUGACAAGAUCAAUUCUCUCCUUUCUUUAAAAAAUCCCCUGGCACUUCUGAUCUCAUGCCUUGCAUUAUUAUAAUUUGUGUUCAAUUCUAAUGUGUUCUACUCCCCCAGCUAGGCUUAUAAGCUCCUCUGUUGGAGUUCACAUAUCACUGAGUCUCUCACAAUGCUGGGCCCUGAAAAGUUCCCAAUAAAUAGCUCCGAGCAGCUACAGAGGCGAUGUUGCAAAGGGGAGAAGCACAGCUUAGUGAUCAGGAGCCCCGGGGUUCUAGGCCUGCCUUGGAUCAACUGUGUGGCCUUGGCAAGACACUUCCCUUUCCUGGGGGGAUGAGCAUUAGUUAAGUAUGAGACCCUUCUGGCUCUGAUUUGUAAUGACUCUGAGUUUAAUGUCGGGCAUACCUUUUUCUUGUUCUUUUCUUUAAAAUCUUUUUAAAGAUGCACAAUAAGAGAGAACCACAAGCCUAGCCAGAGAAAUUAGAUAAUUGCAUUAAAUACGAAUAUACGAACUCAUAAGUUACAUAAAUGCAACAGUACAAAAGAUGUUGCAUGAGAAUGUCAAGGGAGGGCUACAUGAAAUGUCUUAGACAAUAAGUUAAGUCCUAGAGAGAGAAUUGUUCAGGAAAAAAAAAAAAAAAGAAAGGAAGAAAAAGAAGACGACUUGAAACAAGAAUAGGAUGAAUAGAGAGGUCCCGUAUAUCCCCAGAUGGAGCACAGGGCCUGGCACUCAGGGGGCACUUGACCCAUGAUGCUGAACAGACUAAGGAGUGGCAGUAGAGGGUGGGAAGGGCAUGCCAGGUGGAGGACACAGUUUGAACCAAGGCAAGGUGGUUGGAAAAUACUAAACUGUAUAAACUGUAAGAAAGUCAAUUUGGCUAGAGCAGGAAAAUGUGUUUGAGGGCACAGUUGGAGGUAUAAAGGGCAGAGAGUGUAAGCGUUUACAUUCCAAAUGAUAGAAUUUGCACAAUAUUUAGUAAUAAUCUGAAGCCUCUGGGAAAGCUAUUUUUCUUCUGAUUUAAAUACUGAAGUUCAAAGAGGAUAGUGGGUGGGCUUUGCAUCUUGCAAAAGUCUAUCAGAAACUGCCUAGCUCGCUCAGCCCACUUUCCUUUCCAAGGUAAGAAACACACAUUCAUGCAUGGAAAUAAAGCAGGGAGGCCCUUGGCAACUGUCCAGUUCCAUUGAAGUUCUCAUUUUUCUUUUUUUUCUGGAGAGCUUAUUCAACAGGAAAAUAAAGUUAUCUAAUGCCUCAGAAAGGGGUCCCGUGAAACUCACAAGGCCUAUUCCUCACAGCCCAGCCAGGUAAAUUUACCCUGAUUUCAGGAUGGCUAUUUCUUGUCUUCAACUACUCCAGCUGAUCCCAUCCCCUCUACAGAGAACUGGAAGGAAACCCGUCAGGGUUUGACUUUUACAUGAAAACUGACUGCAAUCCAUAUUUUCAAAAAAUCAUUUUCAACAAAACCAGUGCUUUAAAAUAGAUUCACUGAGAAGAAAAUGUUUCCCCAAUCCUCUCCUCCUUGAUUUUGUUGAAUCAAUAACAUUUCAAGAUGUUCUCUGUGAAAAUCACAUGGGUGAGUUAAAUAAGAACAUACAUUACAUUAUCUAGAUCCUCAACUUGCAGCCCUUAGCGCAGUAUGCCUGAGAAAAGUUUAAAAACUCAAAAGAGAGAAAUCCUAUUCAAAGAGUAAAAUACUGCCUAUGCUUCCAAAGUUCUUUACGGCCUGAUAGGUAGAAAUUUAAUAAUGAAGGGCUGGGAAUGGUGGCUCACAUUUGUAAUCCCAGCACUUUGGGAGGCUGAGGCAGGUGGAUAUCUUGAGGUCAGUUCAAGAUCAGCCUGGCCAAUAUGGCAAAACCCCGUCUCUAAAAAUACAAAAAUUAGCUGGGCAUGGUGGCAUAUGCCUGUAGUCCCAGCUACUUGGUAGGCUGAGGCAGGAGAAUCACUUGAACCUGGGAGGCAGAGGUUGCAGUGAGCUAAGAUCGCACAACUGCACUCCAGCCUGGAUGACACAGUGAGACACUGUUUAAAAAAAAAAAAAAAGGAAGAAAAUUUAAUAAUGAAAAACAUAAACAAAUAAGUGAGUCAUCCUGAGACAUAUUUCAAUUCUCCCCUUCUGUAACCUCAAUAAAUUCAUUUUCUCCCACAUAAGCUAAUGUUUGCACUAAAUAUUCUGUACAAAGGAAUACCGCAGACCAUAAAAAAAACAGUAAAAAGAUAUAGCUGUGUCUUUUUUAAAAAACGGUUGAAAAAUUGGGUAUGUGUGGACAAAAUAAUUUUUAAAAAUAGUUUUGCUUGCACAUUUGAUUUCUCUCUUCAUUUAUGAUGCCCUAGUUGAUGAGCUGAUCAACUUUUCUGUGAAAAGUCUUCCUAAAAAACAGAACAAAACUUAACAGAAACUCUGAUCCUGUUUGUCAAAAUGUAGUUCUGGCCCCGAGAGAAAGGCAAUAUUCUUUGGAUGACUUGGAUUCUAAAGCAACUCUUUUAUUAGUAUUAUUAUUUACUUUUUUUUUUUGAGACGGAGUCUCGCUCUGUCACCCAGGCUCCCAGGCUGGAAUGCAGUGGUGCAAUCUUGGCUCACUGCAACCUCUACCUCCCAGUUCAAGCAACUCUAGUGUCUCAGCCUCCAAAGUAGCUGAGAUUAUAGGCACCUGACUAAUGUUUGUAUUUUUAGUAGAGACGGGGUUUCACCGUGUUGGCCAGGCUGGUCUCAAACUCCUAACCUCAAGUGAUCUGCCCGCCUCAGCCUCCCAAAGUUCUGGGGUUACAGACGUGAGCCACUGCACCCAGCCUGGAUUCUAGAGUAACUCUUGAUGAAAGAACAUCAUACUAAGGUGAUUUUUAUAUAAAACAUUAAUUCAGUAUAUCAAUCAGUCACUUUAAUAAAAAUGCCCCUCAUUAUCCUGAGGUGAAUAGAAGCCUAUGGGAUUAAUUUGUGUAAAUAGAUAUUAGAUUAAAAUGGGAACUUGCCACAUAACAAUAAUCAGAUAGCAUAGGCAAUCCAAUCUCAGUGCUGAAUCCAGUAUUGUGUGUGUAGUUACCUUUUAAAAACAGUAACAUGUAUUUAACUUGGACUUGCUUCAAGUAAGCACUGCAUCAGGCAAGUUGGAUUUCAAAUAAACCUUAGCAAUUGAGGGGCAUUGUCGUACUGGAAGUAUAUCUCUUCAAACAACAGCAACAACAGUUUUAGAUAUUUAUUUUAGAGAAAUAAAGGAGACAAUCUGCAAGAGAAAAGGCAGAAAGUGAGGAGGAGGAGAGUACCUAGAAUCCAGGUAGAGGGUUUAUUUCUAGAAAAGCAGCGCCACCUGCUGGUGGACCUGCAUGUCAGGCCCUUCUGCGGCUUGCAGGCCAUCUGUCUUGCAAUCUAUGCAUAAAUACACAGCAGUAUUUCUCAGCUGCUGUUAUACGUAAGAAUUGUAUUACCAGUAGGCAGAUUUCUAACACACUGGUUGUAGUUUAAUAAUCCUAUAUUACCUGAAGUAUGGGUUAUAUAAAAACCUAGAAUGUUAAUUGUUGACAAACCAAUUCUAAUAUGUAAAGCACUGUAAGUCACCCAGUAAAUACACAAGUAAAUCAAAAGGGAUAGCUCUUUUUGCUCUAACAACGUGUUAUUAAAAGCCACAACUUAAUCACUUACAUAAAAAUAAUGUUCAUGAAUUUCGAUGUACUAAGAAAUCAGGAAAAUGCAUUAUAAUCUUACUAACAGAGCUUUUCCUUCACUUACAAUUUAGAGGAAACUAUUUUGCAGAAAAUAUUUUUCCCUUUCUUUAAAAAAUGUACCUAAACCAACAUGCCAUUUAGGAAAUUUGCUCCUAUAACAAAACCUAGUUACAAACAACUAAGAUUACAUCUAUAAAAUGUUAUAUUUUUAAAAUAGCAAUAGAGAAGUUGUGGAAAAUAUGUCACUGAUACAGUGAGCAGAGAAACACUACCUGUCAUUUUUCAGGAAAAGAUCACACAAACGCGAUAGCAAAGGAACACAAUAAAAAGCAGAAACAGGAAUGUGAUAGGUGACUCUGAUUGCAUCUGCAAAGGAAACUGUGAAAUAAAUUAACACCCAAGUACCCAAGAAAGGCACAUUGUGGCUUCACUGGAAGUGAUCAUUAUGCAACAGAGAAGGUUGGUGAUUUUGUAAGAACAGAAAUAAAGUGUAGCCUGUGAAAUCUAGUGGUGAUAACUAAUGACCAUACUACUUACAACUCUGAUUUGAUCUCUAACAUAAAAAAAUAAAAUAAAAAAGUACUCUAAAGAAUAGAUGUAUGCAAUAGGGAUUGUGUUUCUCACUUGAAACAAAUAAACCUCAAAUGGGAUCAAAGGGCCCCGGUAAAUGAAAAAUGACAGUUCCUAUGUUGCCCUGAUUUGAUCUCAAGCAAAACUACCAUGCUGAUAACAUAGCAGGGGAUGUGAGGAAGGCAGUGGAGUUCUUGGAUUGCUAUGAAAAGGAGGCGAGUGUGUAGCCCAUUCAGCUGAUGGGAAGCCCAUUCUAAUUCCAAAAAGUUAUUGAGAUUUAAUCUCUAACAACAACAACAACAACAAAAUAACUCAUGCGGCAACCAAAAGGGUAUCCUUUAAAAACACACAUACACAAUUUUGUUAUUUCCAAUACAUUCUGUAGAAUCUCUUUACAUUCAAUUCUUCCAUCUGUCUAAGCUGGGUAAGGCACAUGUGUGAAGAGAACCAAAUGUCACAAUGCUUGCUUUGAGAACGAAGUGUCUCCAGUUAUCCAGACAGGGAGCUUGACUAGGAGGGUCUCAGGCAUAGGCCAUGGGCAUCCCAUCUCCCAUCUCAGCUGGCUACCACUCACUCUGGAGAGACAGGGUUUCCAGGAGCAAUUCUGGACAGAUGCAAAGGGUGAAGGGGAAUCUGGUGGGGUUCAGGGCUGUCAAGAUUCGAGUUGGGGGCUUACCCUGCCUAGAUAUAACUCCUAGUGUUAGCUUGUGUAUUAGUCCAGUGAGAUAAGGUCUAGGCCAUUGGCUAGGGUCUGAACAAUUAAAGGUGCACACCCUGCCUUAAAUAUCCAAAUUUAUUUGGGAUAAAUUCAAAUCAAUAAGGAAACAUAGGUGGAUGAACAGAAGCAAUGGGUUUGCCAUGGCUUCCUACCCCGACUCAAAUACCCAAUGACAUAUGGAAGGAGAAAACAUCAGCACCCCCAGAUCCACUACAGAGCCCACCAUGUGCUGUCAGCAGAAACAACGGAACAAAUGUGUUACCUUCAGAAGAAGCAGUGAUCAAUUUGAGAUCAAUCUAUUCAAGAGUUGUCCAGCAGUCAAAGGAAUUGGCUGUUGGCUGUUCAGAAACAAAGGUUCUGUUCAAGAAGGUAUAAAGGAACAAGAAGGAAGAAAGGAAGAUCUCUAGCCUUGAGACUUUUUUUUUUUUUUUUGCCUCUGGUUCAGCUUCUCAUGAAAGACCUUUUUCCUUGAGAUACAUGCUUAAUAAACUAUGGAAACAUAUUGUCAACAGAGUUUACAUGUUAAUCAGCCAUUUAUUGAAUUCACACUGUGUGUCUUGGUUACUGUGUGCAAUAUGCUAAGAAUUCAAAGACCAAUUUUGACUUCUACAAAAACCUCAACAUAAAAACUGUCUAAUGGGGUUUACAUGAAAUGUUACAGGCUUACAGAAAAGAGAUUCACUUUUUCUAAUUUGGUUUCCGGGUGGGCUAGUUAAGAAGGCUUCACAGAGAUGGCA
rnacentral:lncRNA from 10 species